rnacentral:tRNA from 1 species
GAGGGUAUAGCUCAAGCGGUAGAGCGCAUGCUUAGCAUGCACAAGGUCCUGGGUUCAAUCCUUAGUAACUCCU